UGUCUGUCUGCUCUGCAGGUUUUCAUACUGAGAUGACCUUGUAGGGUCCAGUGAAUGAUAAAAAAAAAAAAAAAAUCAUCAGUCUUCACUUAAAUGUGGUGCUCAAUACAAGAGGGUGGUUGUAUGAACUGGGAGUCUGCAAUUGCACAGGUUCAAUGGGGUUAAAGGCUACCUGAUGCAAAAGCUGUCGAAACCUAACGAGCUGCACCCUGCACUUUUUACCAUCACCCGGCAUAACGGGUUGAAGCAGACCGUCCUACUUUGUUUUUCUACUGUAUUUUUCCCUGUGUCAGUCUCUGUUUAGAGCUGAGCAGAGGAUGUGAUGGAUAACUUCACAGCGCAACAGCCAGCCAGUAACAGAGAGUGUAUGAGCAGUUUAUGAAACAGCUGUUGGACAAGCAGAACACAAAUUUGCAGAACUGUGAUGUCUUCACUGCUUUGCCUGUGGUCCACUCACUGAAGUCCCCAUUUUUCCCCUAAAUCAAUGAGUUAAGUUCUCAAUCAUUUUACCUCUAAGCCAGCUGGUGUGUGUGUUUCCACACUGUGUUUGUAAAGCUGUGUGUAGAGAUGCUGACAUUUAACUAAUCAUGAACAGCAGCUCUGCACCCACUGCCUCUGGGGGCAGUAGAAACAAACACAGAACGGAGCAAACAGUGUGAUUAUUUGUAGUUUAGAAUUAGGAAUUGGAUUAUUUAAAAAAACACAUUUAAGUGCAUAUCUUUAUUUCUAAUCUCUCUUAAUUUCUUUAAGUGUCUCUCAGAUAUUGUGGUCAGUGUUGAGGCUGUUUGUGGAAGCAUUUGGUUGUCCAGCAACAUAUCUGAGAUCAGGCCCAGGGCAGUUAAGGGACCUGGGUGAACACAAGGAGACCUGAUCAGCUGACGACACACCCUGAGGCACACCCUGUUUUGGUCUCAUGCCCUCUUAUGGGCACUGGCAGGGCAUUAACCUAUGCUGAUUAGGAAUGACCAACACAUACUUUCAUCUUACAAACACAUGGAGUUCAUCAGUAUAAGAACACAGCCCUGCAGCAGAUGGAUGUCAACCCUGUCAUUCCUUACCAACCAUAUUCAGCACUGCGUGUACAGUGUGUCCAUACCA